rnacentral:rRNA from 1 species
GGGGAAUAUUGCACAAUGGGGGAAACCCUGAUGCAGCGACGCCGCGUGGAGGAAGAAGGUCUUCGGAUUGUAAACUCCUGUUGUUGAGGAAGAUAAUGACGGUACUCAACAAGGAAGUGACGGCUAACUACGUGCCAGCAGCCGCGGUAAAACGUAGGUCACAAGCGUUGUCCGGAAUUACUGGGUGUAAAGGGAGCGCAGGCGGGAAGACAAGUUGGAAGUGAAAUCUAUGGGCUCAACCCAUAAACUGCUUUCAAAACUGUUUUUCUUGAGUAGUGCAGAGGUAGGCGGAAUUCCCGGUGUAGCGGUGGAAUGCGUAGAUAUCGGGAGGAACACCAGUGGCGAAGGCGGCCUACUGGGCACCAACUGACGCUGAGGCUCGAAAGUGUGGGUAGCAAACAGGAUUAGAUACCCUGGUAGUCCACACCGUAAACGAUGAUUACUAGGUGUUGGAGGAUUGACCCCUUCAGUGCCGCAGUUAACACAAUAAGUAAUCCACCUGGGGAGUACGACCGCAAGGUUGAAACUCAAAGGAAUUGACGGGGGCCCGCACAAGCAGUGGAGUAUGUGGUUUAAUUCGACGCAACGCGAAGAACCUUACCAAGUCUUGACAUCCCUUGACAGGCAUAGAAAUAUGUUUUCUCUUCGGAGCAAGGAGACAGGUGGUGCAUGGUUGUCGUCAGCUCGUGUCGUGAGAUGUUGGGUUAAGUCCCGCAACGAGCGCAACCCUUAUGGUCAGUUACUACGUAAGAGGACUCUGGCCAGACUGCCGUUGACAAAACGGAGGAAGGUGGGGAUGACGUCAAAUCAUCAUGCCCUUUAUGACUUGGGCUACACACGUACUACAAUGGCGUUAAACAAAGAGAAGCAAGACCGCGAGGUGGAGCAAAACUCAGAAACAACGUCCCAGUUCGGACUGCAGGCUGCAACUCGCCUGCACGAAGUCGGAAUUGCUAGUAAUCGUGGAUCAGCAUGCCACGGUGAAUACGUUCCCG